CCUACGGGAGGCUGCAGUGAGGAAUAUUGGUCAAUGGCCGCAGGGCUGAACCAGCCAAGUCGCGUGAGGGAUGACGGUCCUACGGAUUGUAAACCUCUUUUGUCAGGGAGCAAAGUGCGCCACGUGUGCCGUUUUGCGUGUACCUUAAGAAAAAGCAUCGGCUAACUCCGUGCCAGCAGCCGCGGUAAUACGGAGGAUCCGAGCGUUAUCCGGAUUUAUUGGGUUUAAAGGGAGCGUAGCUGGGAAGUUAAGUCAGCCGUGAAAUUUCGGGGCUCAACCCCAGACUUGCGGUUGAUACUGGCGUUCUUGAGUGAGCGAGAGGUAUGCGGAAUGCGUGGUGUAGCGGUGAAAUGCAUAGAUAUCACGAAGAACUCCGAUUGCGAAGGCAGCAUACCGGCGCUCAACUGACGCUGAUGCACGAAAGCGUGGGUAUCGAACAGGAUUAGAUACCCCAGUAGUC
rnacentral:rRNA from 1 species